AUCAUUAUGGCAGAUUAGUGCGAAGAAGUUAAGUUUCUUAUAUGGUAAUUCCUUAUGAUA
rnacentral:tRNA from 1 species